rnacentral:lncRNA from 1 species
CUCCUAUGAUCCGAACCAAAUAUAGGAUUAGGUUCCAUCUUCAUCUUGAAUUCUCGCCAACACUGGCUAAAAGAUCUCCUCCACUCUCCCAGCCUCCACAACCUCUAUUCCACAUUGGCCAUCUUUCUUCUUUGCCGGAAACCAGAAGACGACAAAAAGCCUUCCUAGAUUUCUUAUUUAGAGAUAAGGACCUCUUCUUCUUCUCGCAUCUCUCUUUCCCCCACGUGAUGUUUGGGGUCACUGGCUACUUGCAGAUACUGCAACCCAGUGGUAGUUGACCCUG